rnacentral:rRNA from 1 species
GUAGGUGGCAAGCGUUGUCCGGAAUUAUUGGGCGUAAAGCGCGCGCAGGCGGUUCUUUAAGUCUGAUGUGAAAGCCACGGCUCAACCGUGGAGGGUCAUUGGAAACUGGAGAACUUGAGUACAGAAGAGGAAAGCGGAAUUCCACGUGUAGCGGUGAAAUGCGUAGAGAUGUGGAGGAACACCAGUGGCGAAGGCGGCUUUCUGGUCUGUAACUGACGCUGAGGCGCGAAAGCGUGGGGAGCAAACAGGGAUUAGAUACCCUGGUAGUCCACGCCGUAAACGAUGAGUGCUAAGUGUUAGGGGGUUUCCGCCCCCUUAGUGCUGCAGCUAACGCAUUAAGCACUCCGCCUGGGGAGUACGACCGCAAGGUUG